AAGGAGGAAAGGAGGCGUGAAAAAAGAAAGACAAUGUUGUCAAUAACAACGGACCUGGUUGAAAAGACUGAAAUAAGUGAUGCACUGACACACAGUGAGUCCUAUGACAGAGCCAAGCAGGGGCCAGAGAAUUACAUGCCAAUAAUAAAUGUCUUUGGGGGAGCCUUUC